UAAGGAAUAUUGCUCAAUGGGAGAAAUCCUGAAGCAGCAACGCCGCGUGGAGGAUGAAGGGUCUAUGACUUGUAAACUCCUGUAAAGAAGGAAAAAAUUCCCAUUUGGUGGGAGAUGAUGGUACUUCUGGAAUAAGCCCCGGCUAACUACGUGCCAGCAGCCGCGGUAAUACGUAGGGGGCAAGCGUUGUCCGGAUUUACUGGGUGUAAAGGGUGCUCAGGCGGAUUUGUAAGUCAGAGGUGAAAUCUUACAGCUUAACUGUGAAACUGCCUUUGAUACUGCAAGCCUAGAGUAUGGAAGAGNGUGAUGGAAUAUCUGGUGUAGCAGUGAAAUGCGUAGAUAUCAGAUAGAACACCAAUGGCGAAGGCAGUCACUUGGUCCAUUACUGACGCUAAAGCACGAAAGCGUUGGUAGCAAACA
rnacentral:rRNA from 1 species